AUGCGUUGUUCUGUCCUCACUUUCAGCCCUCCUCCCAAACGAAUGUAUGCCUUCUACCACAGCACUUACAACGGAAACACUACUGCAUUUCCCAGGAAUCUUCAUCACUACAACAGCACGGCAGACACCUGCAGACUUACACCAGCGUGCUUCCCUUAUUCCUUUGACUCCAGUGGAAACCAUCACCACCAUCUCUACCAGCACCACCACCACCAGCACCAGCCAGGCCAGAAGCAGCUGGAGCCCCUCGUCCUGCGUGACGUCCCUCCCUAUCAGGCGGUGAGGAUCCUGGCGAGGCGUGUCACACCAGAUGGGAAAGUGCAGUACCUGGUAGAGUGGGACAACGUGAGUUUGUACUGAAGCAGGAGGCACAGUGACUGUUGUGUAUUUAAUACGUGUUCAAAAAAAAAAAAAGAAGCGUCCGUGUUCCAGAUCCAGGUCCUCCUCAGUUCCACGCUCUAACCUCACUACUCGUGACUAAAUGUGGUGUCCCUCUGAUAUUUGUACUGUUCCCUUUGGAAGAUGCCUUUUACAGUGACACUAUUUUAGCCUGCUGAUGGUUUGUUUAAAGUCGGAGACGCAUCAUAGAACAAAACGUUGCUCAACAUUAGAGAAGAAAACUCGUCUUUUUCCUUUUGCAUCAGAAAUGUUGCUUAUUUUCCUGCUUUGCCAUAAAUAUCCUAGAAAGAAGAAUGUUUCUGUUAGAUUCAGCAGGACACUUGGACUGAGUGGAAAAUGAGAAUAAAACUAAACCCUGUGGAAGUUUUAUGAUGACAUGAGUUUAUUCCAGGAAGAACGAAUCCAACCUGUUUUUGACACCACGUCUUCAGCUCUUUUGUUCUUGCAUUUAACACAAAAGUCAAAACACUUUGUAAAUGUUGAUAUUUACUCCUCUGAUAUGUAAAGGAUGUUCUGGCAUCGAGGGUCUGCAGUAGUUUGUUUUUCUGUCUCUGCAAACUCAAACGGGUCAUGAGUCUGGUCCAGAACCUGUCCGGGCUUUGUGAUGCCAGCAGAGCGUAGUUCUGAUGGAUGUCUCUGUUCCUGAUGCAG
rnacentral:lncRNA from 1 species